rnacentral:tRNA from 1 species
GUCCCUGCAGCGCAAUGGAUAGCGCGUUGGACUUCUAUUACAAAGGUCGUGGGUUCGAAUCCCACCUGGGAUG